UACGUAGGGGGCAAGCGUUGUCCGGAUUUAUUGGGCGUAAAGAGCGUGUAGGUGGCCAGGUAGGUCUGCUGUGAAAACUCGAGGCUUAACCUCGAGCUGUCGGCGGAAACCAUCUGGCUAGAGUCCGGAAGAGGAGAAUGGAAUUCCCGGUGUAGCGGUGAAAUGCGCAGAUAUCGGGAAGAACACCCGUGGCGAAGGCGGUUCUCUGGGACGGUACUGACUCUGAGACGCGAAAGCGUGGGGAGCGAACAGG
rnacentral:rRNA from 1 species